AUGCCAAUCUCUAAUCCUUUCAGUAAUGGGAUCCAGCCAGAGGUAAAGAUUCCUAGAAAAAUUGUCUAUGUCUAGACCAAGCCCAUUCAACCCACAGCCUACAGGCCAGGAUGGCUUUGAAUGUGACCCAACACAAAUUCAUAAACCUUCUUAAAACAUGAGAUUUUGUUUCUGUGAUUUUUUUUUAACUCAUCAGCUAUCAUUAGUGUUAAUGUAUUUUAUGUGUGACCCAAGACAAUUCUUCCAACGUGGCCCAGGGAAGCGACAAGAGUGGACACCCCUGCUCUAGACCAUCACCAGUCCUUCCUAGCCAGUGUCCUGUCUGCAGAGUAAAGGUUUGUAGGCUUCUCAUCAAGCGUCAAAGAAACUAGUUUUCUUUAAAUUUCCAUGAAAUAAAAUAAAUGUCUUGGGUUUUAAAAAUUGUACAAUUGGGAACAUCUUUGAAUGUUUUUUUUUAAGAGACAGCAUCUCAUUCUUGUCACCCAGACUGGAGUGCACUGGUGUAAUCAUUGCCCACUGGAGCCUCAAGCUCCUGGGCUCAAACAAUCCUCCUGCCUCUGCCUCCCACGUAACUGAGACUACAGGUGUGCACCAGCCUGCCCAGCUGAUUUUUAAAACAUUUUUUAGAGAUGGGGUCUUGCUGUGUUACACAGGCUGUUCUUGAACUCCUGGCCUCAAGUGAUCCUCCUGCCUUUGCCUCCCAAAGCACUGGGAUUACAGGCUUGAGCUACUGUGCCUGGCCGGGAUUUUUUUUUUUUUUUUUUUUUUUUUUAACUGUGUGUGUGUCAGGUUGUCUUGAACACCAUGGCGACUCCCUCAGACUUUUUCGUCUUAUUUCUUGGUAAAAAGGAGCUUUCUAGCUCUGAGACUAGGCAAUUAGGGUGGUUCUCUGAGUCAUUCUCUGUACACAGAGUGUCAGUCAGGUGCCAUAUGUAGAGAGUUGUUGAAUAAUUCAGCCGGGUAAUGUCCAAGACGUCAGUACUUUGCUCCUUUCUUCCCGUUUUGUGAGACGGUCCCGGUGGACUAUAUAACCACUAUCCAACUUCGCUUCCAGGUUUUAUUUGCACCAAAGUAUGGAGCACUUUCCCCCCUUGCCUGCAUUCUGAUGAAUUUGUUUUCAUUUUGUUUUAGAGAGCUUUGCUUCCCAAAUUUCUCCUUCGAGGACAUCUCAACUCAACAAACUGUGUCAUCACACAGCCGCUAACGGGAGAGCUGGUGGUGGAGAGCUCGGAAGCCGCCAUCAGAAGCGUGGAGCUGCAGCUGGUGCGCGUGGAGACGUGCGGGUGUGCAGAAGGCUAUGCCCGCGACGCCACGGAGAUUCAGAACAUUCAGAUCGCCGACGGGGAUGUGUGCAGGGGCCUCUCUGUCCCCAUCUACAUGGUCUUCCCUAGGCUGUUCACUUGCCCUACACUGGAGACCACCAACUUCAAAGUGGGUAAGUGGCACUCGCCUUCAGCCCUCAUGGGCCCAUGGGAAGGGCCGCUCAGUGCCAGGGCCUGCUGUGGGUCACAUAGCUCAGAACCUGCCACCUUCCGGUCCCUCAGUGCCAGGGCCUGCCACACGCCAUACAGCUCAGAGCCUGCUGCUCUUCGGCUGCUCAACAAAGCCUUGUUAAGGAGCUGCUGCGCCGCACAGGGGACACACCCACAGACAGUCCUGGUGCUUGUGGGACUUCCACUGUCACAUGGGGAGACACACAGACCCACAUCAGUGUAGACAUGGGCAGGUGACACUGAGCUCUGUGUAGACAUAGGCAGGUGACGCUGAGCUCCGUGAAGAAAACUCACGUGAGUGAGCACCACCUGAGCAGGGGGUGGUGUGGAUACUGAGAAAGUGGCUCUGUGUGAAGGUCCAGGACCCAUGAAAACCCCAGAGUGAGUGCUCAGCAGCAGGAAGGCCUUGAGCCCCGCGGCCUAGAUGCCUCUAGUGAGUUUCCAUGAACCUGUGUGUUCAUAUUUUAACCAUGGGAUCUGAAUCAGGUCACAGACACCCUUUUAUAUUCUGCCGUCUUCCCUUAACAUUGUAUCAUGAACAUUUCCAUGUUUUUAACUCUUCCUAUAAAUAUUGUAAUGGUACCUCCAUCUUAAUAAGAAUCAUGUUAAUUGGGAGAUCACUCCACACAACGAAGAAGUAGAACAGAGAGACCCAGUAGGAAGGGACCGAACCUUCUCAGUAGCAGGGGACAGUGAUUCAGAGAAGCUUGGGACCUCUAGGUUGGAAGUCAGGAGUGAGCACUGCAUCCGCAUCAAGAGCAGCACCUCUGUGUUCCCCUCCAACUGUGUGCAAGGGACCUCAAAUGCACGGUCAGGCCCGAGACUGGAACUCACUCGGACUGUAAGCAGUGCCUGGGUAUCAUGGCAGCUCCAAUGCAGCUGUUUUCCUGCUGUAAAGGAAAGCCCCCGCCAGCUCCCUAUCAUGCCUGCUGGGCAUCCCUCUCUGUCCACUCCAGCCACACCCUCCACCCUUCUGGGGGGCACAACAAGAGGGGUGGAGAACCCAUUGAAGGACGUGGUGGCAGGAAGUGCCCAGAGCGCUCUAAUGUAGUGACAAUAAAGUGAGGAAGGACAGGCCGGGCACUGCUGGUGGCCGACUCUUCUCGUGGCUGAUGUUUGGGCAGAGGUGGACACUCCCACACGGGGAUGUUGUCCUGCAGACCCCAGCCACAGGUGGGCACUGACUCCAAGGCCCCUUCCACAGGUGAGCUGCUGCAGUGUGGGGCUCGGCACAGUGUGCCCUCUGCCCAUACGGUGCCCUUCCCACCCCUCGUCACACUGGGGAAGGACAUGGUGCUUAUUCGUCGUCAGGUACUUCUCCUCUUCACACACACCCCUUUUGUUAUGAUCAACAAGGCCCACCCAUAGCAGCUGAAGAGUAGGUGGAGAAGGAAUCCUGUUUGCUGAAAGGUGAUGGAUGAAUAAUAUCCAAUGGAGCAACAAUGAAAUUGUUGCUUCUGAAGACUGUUUCUCACCUGGGGAUUGGGGACAUGGGCCCAGACAGCUAUGGGCUGGUUCACGGUCUGCUAGUUCAUUAAGAACCGUAGGAAAUGUAAAAAUAAGGCAAAGGAAUACAAAUGAAUUGAAAGGGUUCUAGAAUAUCCUUUUUAGGAAAGCAAAGGGACAGGGAAAGUGUAGUUGGUGAAGCCUGAUCACUCAUGUUCCAAGAUGAGAGGACAAAAAUUCACUUAGAGAAAGUUGACAGAGGUAGUCAGACAUCAGCAUAGUCAUCUCCACCGGUUUGGCUGAAAGGUCGGGGUGGCGCUGAGGGGACAGCAAUGAAACCCACCCGCAUCGGGUGCUCCUUCGCCAUUAGAGCUUACUGCAACUGCAGUGGUGGUGGCGUGUGGUUUCGCUGCUCGGUAACAGUGAGCAUAAAUCCACCCUCUCUUCUCUUCUCAGAAUUUGAGGUGAACAUCGUGGUGCUUCUUCACCCCGACCACCUCAUCACGGAGAACUUCCCACUGAAGCUCUGCAGGAUAUAGCCCAGAGGAGGGAAGCACAGAAAACGGGAGUGGCCAUCUGGAAAUCCAGCUGGUUAUCCAAAUCCUAAGGGGAGCUACAGCCAGCGGCAUAUGCUUGUUUUUGUGAUUAUUCUGUAUCAGAAAUGAAACAGACCCUCAAAUUAAAUUCCCUUCCUCAUUUCUUGAGGCUUCUGCUUCCAACAGGCACCUCUAAUGAGAACUUUUCUUUGAAAUUCAACAAGAUUUCUUAAUGCUAUUUGCCAAGACCAUUUCACAGAAAACAUUGACUGUAGCUCUUGCCUUAUCUGUUCCUUUUUAGGUACAGUAAAACAAUUGUGACAGCAGUUUGAGCUUGCUGGAGAGUGGCAUCAUGGGGACAAAAGGAAACCUCUCUGACUUGCUAAUGGAUGUAGCUGGGGACUCCCCAUAGCAAAGGGUCUGUGGCCAGUUGACAUCCAGGAUGGCUGCAAGCACACUCGAUGGUCAGGAUGUUUGCAGAUACUCGCCAAGGCAGAGCGCAAAGUGCUAGCCACUGGAAAUGCCUGACUUCCCUCCACCCCUACUCUGUUCUGUAGUUUUUUGGUUUUGUUUUUGCGACGGAGUCUCACUCUGUCGCCCAGGCUGGAGUGCAGUGGCGUGAUCUCAGCUCACUGCAACCUCCACCUCCCAGGUUCAAGCGACUCUCCUGCCUCAGCCUCCCGAGUAGUUGGGAUUACAGGUGACCGCCACCGCGCCUGGCUAAUUUUUGUAUUUUUAGUAGAGACGGGGUUUCACCAUCUUGGCCAGGCUGGUCUUGAACUCCUGACCUUGUGAUCCCCUGCCUUGGCCUCCCAAAGUGCUGGGAUUACAGGUGUGAGCCACCACACCCAGCCUCUGUAGUUCUUUUUACAACAUUUUUCAUUAUAACUUUAAAAUUUGUAAGCAACUGGAAAAGUGUUCCUCGCUCUCAUGGGGGGAUUUGGCUGGUGCUGAAGUGUUUCUGAAGUCUCAAGAAUAAAGCCAUAAAAUCUCACGCUGCCAUUUCCCUGAACAUAUACAUACAUAGAGAGAAAGAGAGACAGAGUUUUCCCAACUCUCGCGUAGGCUGAGCACACUGGCAGGAUCACAGCUCACGGCAGCCUCAACCUCCCUGGCUCAAGCGAUCCCUCCCCUCAGCAUCCUGAGUAGCUGAGACUACAGGUGAGUGCCACCACACUCAGCUAAUUUUUAAAUGUUUUGUAGACAGGGUCUCCCUAUGUUGCCCAGGCUGGUCUUGAACGCCUAGACUCAAGUGAUCCUCCUGUCUUGGCCUCCCAAAGUGCUGAGAUUACAGGUGGGAGCCACUGUGCCCAGCAGUUUCCCAGAAUAUAUUUAAAUGCAAAGUUACAUGAGGGGAAAACAUGUAUGUUUGCUCCUGUUGUUACUGGGUACGUUCUGAACGGCAGAGACUCGUGCAGGGCGGGCUGGUGAAGGCCCCUCUCCGCAAGGUGGUAGCAGGAAAAGGUCCUUGACUUGAUGAACUUGGUCUGCCUCUGAGCCACUGGAGGAAGCUGUUUUGAGCCAGGGUUUUUUUGGCCUGAAGCCAGCAUUUCCUCAGUCUCCCUUUGUGGUUCGAAGGAUAUGGACUAUUGCAAUACAUUUCUUCCUUCAAAUCCUGCCAGUUUUGUUGGCCCACAACUGAUAGGACCUCAAAAUAAGCCAUGCUGCUUUGCACACACACUAGCCUUCUCUUGUACUUUUCAUUCUGGAUGGGCUUGGCCAAAACAGGCUCAGGCCAAAGGCCUCCCAGGCUGUAUGUACUUCCACUAUCCUGAAAGUGUUUGGUGACACAAUGCCAAGGGUAAACAAGCCUGAUUUAGGCACUGCUUUAUCCAGGGGCUUCACCCGUGAAAUUAAUAAAACUUAUCUGAGUCACUGGAAACUUGGUUCCCAGAAAAUACAUUUCUGGUUUAUAAUCUUUUAUGCUCACCUGACAUUAUUAAUUAUCCUUGAUGAUGUGUUUAAACUGAGUAGCAGAAAACAGAGGCCACACUUUCUGGGAAAUUUUAAAGGAAGAAACCAUUUUUAAUGAGAUGAAAAUAUUUAAUGAAUUUAAAAAGCUAAUGACAAUUUUGAGAAAAGGUUUGGGAUGUAUAUUGCUAUGUAAUUUAAUAAACUGAUUUUAUGGAUAUAAAUA
rnacentral:sRNA from 1 species